UUUAAGUUUUGNANCCCCNCUCAGAUUGAACGCUGGCGGCAGGCUUAACACAUGCAAGUCGAGCGGGGAAAAGUAGCUUGCUACUUAACUUAGCGGCGGACGGGUGAGUAAUACUUAGGAAUCUGCCUAUUAGUGGGGGACAACAUUUCGAAAGGAAUGCUAAUACCGCAUACGUCCUACGGGAGAAAGCAGGGGAUCACUUGUGACCUUGCGCUAAUAGAUGAGCCUAAGUCGGAUUAGCUAGUUGGUGGGGUAAAGGCCUACCAAGGCGACGAUCUGUAGCGGGUCUGAGAGGAUGAUCCGCCACACUGGGACUGAGACACGGCCCAGACUCCUACGGGAGGCAGCAGUGGGGAAUAUUGGACAAUGGGGGGAACCCUGAUCCAGCCAUGCCGCGUGUGUGAAGAAGGCCUUUUGGUUGUAAAGCACUUUAAGCGAGGAGGAGGCUACUCUAGUUAAUACCUAGGGAUAGUGGACGUUACUCGCAGAAUAAGCACCGGCUAACUCUGUGCCAGCAGCCGCGGUAAUACAGAGGGUGCGAGCGUUAAUCGGAUUUACUGGGCGUAAAGCGUGCGUAGGUGGCCAAUUAAGUCAAAUGUGAAAUCCCCGAGCUUAACUUGGGAAUUGCAUUCGAUACUGGUGGCUAGAGUAUGGAGA
rnacentral:rRNA from 1 species